AGCCUGCGUCCGCCAUCUUGGUAGAGGCAGGCCAGUACAGCAUAAGAAGGUCCUAAAGAAGUCUCACAUAUACCUCCCAUUCAAAUGGUUGUUAUAGUGUGCCAUGGAGUAUACUGCCACCGAUAGGCGCCUGUUCCCACAAUACAUUUACACUAAAGGGGUAAACCAUUUUACAUCGGUUUGAUCCCAAAGUUGUUACCCUAGGACGCCCGGACGCCCUCCUCCUGUUUGAAAACCUUUGGAGUUACACCCCUGCCUCAUCUUUCAGAUAAAGUA